rnacentral:rRNA from 1 species
GUGAGGAAUCUUCCACAAUGGGCGAAAGCCUGAUGGAGCAACGCCGCGUGAGGGAUGAAGGUCUUCGGAUUGUAAACUUCUUUUAUGAGUGAAGAAUAUGACGGUAACUCAUGAAUAAGCACCGGCUAACUACGUGCCAGCAGCCGCGGUCAUACGUAGGGUGCAAGCAUUAUCCGGAGUGACUGGGCGUAAAGAGUUGCGUAGGCGGUUAUGUAAGCGAAUAGUGAAACCUGGUGGCUCAACCACACAGACUAUUAUUCGAACUGCAUAACUCGAGAAUGGUAGAGGUAACUGGAAUUUCUUGUGUAGGAGUGAAAUCCGUAGAUAUAAGAAGGAACACCAAUGGCGUAGGCAGGUUACUGGGCCAUUUCUGACGCUAAGGCACGAAAGCGUGGGGAGCGAACCGGAUUAGAAACCCCUGUAGUCC